rnacentral:lncRNA from 1 species
AAACAUCAGAAGUUCAAAGUCAACCUUGUUUAUAUAGUGAGUCUGAGGCCAGCCUGGGGUAACACAACUCUAUUAUUGUAUCAUUAUUACUAUUACUAUUACUAUUAUUAUUAUUUUAGAAAAUGAGAGACAGCCAUCCAACCCUUUGGCUGUGGACAGCCUCGCAGGACUUGAUGUCUGCACUUCCGAGCUGCCUUCUCAUUGGGCUGUGCCCAUCAGGAAGCUUACUUCUCUGACCUCAGAGGACAAGAGGGUUGUCCAGAAGGUCUUAGACACCGUUCAGCACAAUC